rnacentral:rRNA from 1 species
GAUGAACGCUAGCGGCAGGCCUAAUACAUGCAAGUCGGACGGGAUUCAGGAGCUUGCUUCUGAUGAGAGUGGCGCACGGGUGCGUAACACGUAUGUAACCUACCUUUAUCAGGGGGAUAGCCUCUCGAAAGAGAGAUUAAGCCCGCAUAAAAUCACAGCACAGCAUUGUGUAAUGAUCAAAUAUUUAUAGGAUAAAGAUGGGCAUGCGGAACAUUAGCUAGAUGGCGGGGUAACGGCCAACCAUGGCGACGAUGUUUAGGGGAUCUGAGAGGAUGGCCCCCCACACUGGUACUGAGACACGGACCAGACUGCUACGGGAGGCAGCAGUAAGGAAUAUUGGGCAAGGGGCGGAAGCCUGACCCAGCCGUGCCGCGUGCAGGAAGACGGCCCUACGGGUUGUAAACUGCUUUUAUACGGGAAUAAACCCAGAUACGUGUAUCUGGCUGAAUGUACUGUAAGAAUAAGGAUCGGCUAACUCCGUG